rnacentral:rRNA from 1 species
UUGAGAGUUUGAUCCUGGCUCAGGACGAACGCUGGCGGCGUGCCUAACACAUGCAAGUCGAGCGAAUGAAGUUCCUUCGGGAAUGGAUUUAGCGGCGGACGGGUGAGUAACACGUGGGCAACCUGCCUCAUAGAGGGGAAUAGCCUUCCGAAAGGGAGAUUAAUACCGCAUAAGAUUGUAGUACCGCAUGAUACAGCAAUUAAAGGAGCAAUCCGCUAUGAGAUGGGCCCGCGGCGCAUUAGCUAGUUGGUGAGGUAACGGCUCACCAAGGCGACGACGGGUAGCCGGCCUGAGAGGGUGACCGGCCACACUGGGACUGAGACACGGCCCAGACUCCUACGGGAGGCA